rnacentral:rRNA from 1 species
CCUACGGGAGGCAGCAGUGGGGAAUAUUGGACAAUGGGCGAAAGCCUGAUCCAGCCAUGCCGCGUGUGUGAAGAAGGCCUUCGGGUUGUAAAGCACUUUCAGUGGGGAAGAAAGCCUUGGGGCUAAUACCCUCGAGGAAGGACAUCACCCACAGAAGAAGCACCGGCUAACUCCGUGCCAGCAGCCGCGGUAAUACGGAGGGUGCGAGCGUUAAUCGGAAUUACUGGGCGUAAAGCGCGCGUAGGCGGUCUGAUAAGCCGGUUGUGAAAGCCCCGGGCUCAACCUGGGAACGGCAUCCGGAACUGUCAGGCUAGAGUGCAGGAGAGGAAGGUAGAAUUCCCGGUGUAGCGGUGCAAUGCGUAGAGAUCGGGAGGAAUACCAGUGGCGAAGGCGGCCUUCUGGACUGACACUGACGCUGAGGUGCGAAAGCGUGGGUAGCAAACAGGAUUAGAUACCCGAGUAGUC